ensembl:misc_RNA 7SK 7SK RNA
AGAUGUGAGGUCAGUAUGUCUUGGACAUCUGUUACCCAAUUGAUUGCCAGGAUUGAUUUGGCUGAUCUGGCUGGCUAGGUGGGUUUCCUCUUCUUCUGUCACUAUUCUAUGUGUGUCCCUCCUCAAACUGUGUGCUUGUAGAAGAGGAUGACCUUCCCUGAAUGGACUGGUCUUUGGUUGAGGGUAUAAGAGUAGCUGCAUUCCCCUGCUAGCACCUCCAAACAAGCUCUCAGAGUACCCUCUUCUUUCUGUUUUGUGUGGUUAGAGAUGAGAGAUACUUGUAUUGAGUGGUAGCAAUAAUUUGAAGGCACAGAUAACAUAAGGGAAAGUAU